rnacentral:tRNA from 1 species
AAGGUUUUAAGUUAUAAAAACUAAUAAUCUUCAAAAUUAUAAAAAAAGAAAAAAAAGAUACUCUUUAAGCCUUA